GACGGGAAGGUGUCCCGAGUUCUCCUCGUUGGGAGAGUGCGAGAGUCGAAGCUUGUCUUCCCGCACCUCGACUCAAAGGGAAGGACACACGAGGGGAGGGGCACGACAACAGAUCGAAGCAUCGGUUACGGUCCGUCGGAGCGAGAGGCCUCGGAUGGCGUGGACGCGGUUGUUCGGUGGCUCGGGUUCGCAACGACGCGAGGUCUAUUGUGACGUCACCUUCCACCGGAAUGGCGCCGCCGCCUUGACAGGCACGGCGACUCGAUAAAAAGAAGCGACUUAAAGGUUGAAACUGGAUAAAGUUCACGAUAUCACCGAAUCCACUGAGUUCGCACGACGGAGGAGGCCAGGGGGGGAUCGCGAGCGCACGCUCCAGUGUCGCCGCCACCGCCACCGCCAUCGUUGUGCUUCCUUGGAAGACUUCUCCGGAG